rnacentral:rRNA from 1 species
UAGAGAUUCUUCGGGAUCUUGAGAGCGGCGUACGGGUGCGGAACACGUGUGCAACCUGCCUUUAUCUGGGGGAUAGCCUUUCGAAAGGAAGAUUAAUACCCCAUAAUAUACUGGAUGGCAUCAUUCGGUAUUGAAAACUCCGGUGGAUAGAGAUGGGCACGCGCAAGAUUAGAUAGUUGGUGAGGUAACGGCUCACCAAGUCUGCGAUCUUUAGGGGGCCUGAGAGGGUGAUCCCCCACACUGGUACUGAGACACGGACCAGACUCCUACGGGAGGCAGCAGUGAGGAAUAUUGGACAAUGGGUGAGAGCCUGAUCCAGCCAUCCCGCGUGAAGGACGACGGCCCUAUGGGUUGUAAACUUCUUUUGUAUAGGGAUAAACCUACUCUCGUGAGAGUAGCUGAAGGUACUAUACGAAUAAGCACCGGCUAACUCCGUGCCAGCAGCCGCGGUAAUACGGAGGGUGCAAGCGUUAUCCGGAUUUAUUGGGUUUAAAGGGUCCGUAGGCGGAUCUGUAAGUCAGUGGUGAAAUCUCACAGCUUAACUGUGAAACUGCCAUUGAUACUGCAGGUCUUGAGUGUUGUUGAAGUAGCUGGAAUAAGUAGUGUAGCGGUGAAAUGCAUAGAUAUUACUUAGAACACCAAUUGCGAAGGCAGGUUACUAAGCAACAACUGACGNUGAUGGACGAAAGCGUGGGGAGCGAACAGGAUUAGAUACCCUGGUAGUCCACGCNGUAAACGAUGCUAACUCGUUUUUGGGUUUUCGGAUUCAGAGACUAAGCGAAAGUGAUAAGUUAGCCACCUGGGGAGUACGUUCGCAAGAAUGAAACUCAAAGGAAUUGACGGGGGCCCGCACAAGCGGUGGAUUAUGUGGUUUAAUUCGAUGAUACGCGAGGAACCUUACCAAGGCUUAAAUGGGAAAUGACAGGUUUAGAAAUAGACUUUUCUUCGGACAUUUUUCAAGGUGCUGCAUGGUUGUCGUCAGCUCGUGCCGUGAGGUGUUAGGUUAAGUCCUGCAACGAGCGCAACCCCUGUCACUAGUUGCCAUCAUUAAGUUGGGGACUCUAGUGAGACUGCCUACGCAAGUAGAGAGGAAGGUGGGGAUGACGUCAAAUCAUCACGGCCCUUACGCCUUGGGCCACACACGUAAUACAAUGGCCGGUACAGAGGGCAGCUACACAGCGAUGUGAUGCAAAUCUCGAAAGCCGGUCUCAGUUCGGAUUGGAGUCUGCAACUCGACUCUAUGAAGCUGGAAUCGCUAGUAAUCGCGCAUCAGCCAUGGCGCGGUGAAUACGUUCCCGGGCCUUGUACACACCGCCCGUCAAGCCA